rnacentral:rRNA from 1 species
GACGAACGCUGGCGGCGUGCUUAACACAUGCAAGUCGAACGGAAAGGCCCUGCUUUUGUGGGGUGCUCGAGUGGCGAACGGGUGAGUAACACGUGAGUAACCUGCCCUUGACUUUGGGAUAACUUCAGGAAACUGGGGCUAAUACCGGAUAGGAGCUCCUGCUGCAUGGUGGGGGUUGGAAAGUUUCGGCGGUUGGGGAUGGACUCGCGGCUUAUCAGCUUGUUGGUGGGGUAGUGGCUUACCAAGGCUUUGACGGGUAGCCGGCCUGAGAGGGUGACCGGCCAAAUUGGGACUGAGAUACGGCCCAGACUCCUAAGGGAGGCAGCAGUGGGGAAUAUUGCAAAAUGGGCGGAAGCCUGAUGCAGCAACGCCGCGGGCGGGAUGACGGCCUUCGGGUUGUAAACCGCUUUCGCCUGUGACGAAGCGUGAGUGACGGUAAUGGGUAAAGAAGCACCGGCUAACUACGUG